rnacentral:lncRNA from 1 species
AUGCCUGGUCCGACCCCCAGUGGCACUAAUGUGGGAUCCUCAGGACACUCUCCCAGCAAAGCCGUGGCCGCCCGGGCAGCAAGAUCCACUGUCCGGCAGAGGAAAAAUGCCAGCUGUGGGACAAGGAGCGCAGGCCGCACGACCUCGGCAGGCACAUGGCGGAUGUGGCGAUUCUACACAGAAGAUUCACCUGGGCUCAAAGUUGGUCCUGUUCCAGUAUUGGUUAUGAGCCUUCUGUUCAUCUCUUCUGUAUUUAUGUUGCACAUUUGGGGCAAGUACACUCGU